UGCCAGCAGCCGCGGUAAUACGAGUGGUGCAAGCGUUGUUCGGAAUCACUGGGCAUAAAGGGUACGUAGGCGGCUAUGUAAGUCAGUUGUGAAAUCCCUCGGCUUAACCGGGGAAUUGCUGCUGAAACUACAUGGCUUGAGGUCGAAAGAGGCAAGUGGAAUUCCAGGUGUAGCGGUGGAAUGCGUAGAUAUCUGGGAGAACGCCCAAGGCGAAGGCAGCUUGCUGGGUCGAUACUGACGCUGAGGUACGAAAGCUAGGGGAGCGAACAGGAUUAGAUA
rnacentral:rRNA from 1 species